rnacentral:lncRNA from 1 species
GUGAGGGAAACAGAGACUGAGAAGGAGCUUGGAUGAUUUCUAGCACCCCAGAAACAGAUGACUGAUGCUCCAAAGAAUGGCAUGGAUUCAGUGAGUCCCUUCAGGCUUGGCCAAGGAACAUUUUGCAGCAGCACGAGUGUGACAUUUCUUUGAAUGCUGAGAUUUCUGCAGUGGCUUCCGAGUCACAUUAUCCUGGAGGAUGCUCAUCAGAUGGCUUUUUUAGACACAAUAGGCUGGAUUAUCUAAAUUACCCACGGCUGCUUCUUGAAACCUCUGGACAAGGGAAGGAAUACAGAACCCUCUUCGAGUAG